rnacentral:tRNA from 1 species
GCUGGAUUAGCUCAGACGGUUAGAGCACAUUCUUGGUAAGAAUGAGGUCCCGAGUUCGACUCUCGGAUCCAGCUCCA